AGAAUCCAAGCUGCUAAACGAGGGAGAGGGCAGUGAGCAAACAACUGCAUGGUGUUCAGCUGCCUGCCGAGUUAAAGCACAGCAAUAAUAGCGGGGGGAAAAGAAGUACCUGACGAGAGAAAGACCCAACUAUGGAUGGCAGAAGGGGAAGUGAAGAUGGCAGAAGUGUGGGAAACCUCACAGCCAGUCAAAGCCAACAACACUGAAUUAAGAUGUCGUUAUCAGCCAUCUGUUCCUGGUCCUGCUCUCAAUUUCUUCCAUCAAAGAAAUAAUUCCAGACAUGAAACACCUCAUUGGAGCAACAAUCACCUGAAACUGCCAGAGUGCUGCAAUGCAACAGUGGGCCUGGCUUGCAGGGAGCAAUUGAAGGAACUUUUUCCGAUAUGCUGGUGUCACCAUAUACAGCAGGUGGGAAGCAAGACUCAGAAUGAGAAGGCUGUGAAGUUCUGCUGGCCCCACUGUUGGUGACACCUCUGCCUAACUCCUAAUGGAUGCACUGAGCCCCCAGACCACAGAUCUCUCAUGGGAGAAGGUGAAGAGCAGCCCUCCCUCAAUGUUGCUCUUACAGGGCUUCUCAGAUCCCUUGUCCCACAACCUGCAACCCAAGGCUGGGAUUUACAUCGUGUCACCUGCUGAAUCCUUGGGGAGAACAGCUCAUCUCAAACAAUCUCAUCAAAACAGGAAAUUUUAAACAUAUCAAAUGGGAACAAAAGAACACUUCUGAGGAUCGUACACCCUUGGGAUACUCACAUACUGGCGGUCCAAAACUGCUCUGUGAACAGUGUUUAAAAGUGUUUUGGGACAUUUUUGGCAGUAGCAUUAUUUUUCUUUUGAGAAUGACUUUCUGACAAUGCUUUUGCUCAAUUCUCCACUUUUCAGUAACAAACCUUUUCUUAGAGAAGUCAAAUUUUUUUAUCAUACUUAAUGUACAUAACAGAUUUAGAAAUAACCAACCAGAGGAAAUGCACACAUACCUUUGAAGUACUGACAUUCUGUAAGCCCAAAUUCCCAAGCACUAAAAGAUGUACAUGCUAGAAGGUUGGGUUUGCCCACUAAAAUCUGAACAUUUCUGGUAUUGCAUCUAAUCCAAUAAUCACACUUGUACAGUGUCGCUCUUACACUGUACAGAAUGUACAGAACAAGUCCAGGUAAAUGAGGAACAGCAGUGAUCUUGGCUUUACUGAUCAGCUAACACCAACCAGUGGCCUAGGAAGCCCAAGAAUGCCAGGAUAAGCUUAGCACUAACACAGCAUUUACUACACUUAAAUGUCCAGUGACCAAACAAAGUAUUUCAAAUCUAAUUCUACUCCUGUGAGACUAAUUGUGCUUUCCUUGAGAUGCAUUAUUUUGAUGUCUUCUGUGUCUCUAAAUAGGGAUAUUUUCAUUGAUAUUUAAAAAAAAUACACUGAAGCUACUUAAUCCUCAAAUCCCUUCAGUUUCUCACUGUAAGAAUAUCACAAGGAAAAUUAAGAACACUGAUUUGAUAACAAAAACAGGGACACAUUGAAAUUAGGGUGGAAACUACUGUGUCAUUUCACUGCUCUGGAGAUUAACAUACAAAAUCAAAAGCUCCAGAUGCAACUAACAGUGCGAAUGGAAUCGCUUGAAUUCACACCCUUUCAGAUACGUACAGCUGCUUUUGGUCUCCUUGUGGGCACAGAGGGAUGAGAAGUCAAAGCAAAGCACACCUGAACAGUAUCCAGCGAAUGAGAUUUCUGGCUGUUGAAACCCUCUGUGAGCUUGUAAGCCCUGAUUACCAGUUCCGCUUCUCAAAUGAAAAGCUCUAAGUGCUAUUUAUUUAUGGAUUCCUCUGAAUGCCAGCAAAGCUAUGUCUUACUUUGAGUCCUGACUUGCAUUAACUCUCACUUGUUUGUAGAUAUUCUUCUGUUCACUGUCACACCAGAUCUUUGCACAAUAGGUGGACCCUAAACAACAGUAUUUUCAACCAUAUGAACGUAUUUCAAAGUAUAGACCUCACCUUAGAUCUCGAGGGAGGAUCAAGGUGACUGACAAAUACGCACUUAAAGCAUCUGUCAGUUCCAAUGACCCAAGUUUGAACUGGAGCAAAGCUGUUGUUGUAGCACUCAAGUGAAGGUGUUAAAAAGAUCAUUGUCUAUGUAACAGUUUCUCUUAAGGAAACUGUAUAUAACAUAGCAACUUCCAGGCUGAUCCAUGAAAGUCAAGCACCAUUACUGCUGCACCAUACUCUGCCAAUCAGUAUUGACUGCACAAUGAUAGACCAUUCCAUACGUCAGCUCAAAAGACUGCACUCCAAAUGAGAUAAAAGUGCAUUACUUUCUCACUUACUAAGUUGCACUGCACAGCUGCAGUGGGCCUAUUCUAGGUAGCCAGAAUAAUUUAAAUUUCCAGAAGAAAACGAAAAUGAUUUCUUUUGCCUACUGAGAGAUUCUCGAUUUUUGUUACAGUGUUAGAAGAUACAGUGCUACCAGAUACACCAUUCCAGAUCCUGCUUUGUUCCAAAGAACUUGAUCAUUACAUAUAUUUCACAACAAAUAAACCAGUAUGUCU
rnacentral:lncRNA from 1 species